UUGAAUGUAUUACAAGAUCCUUGUCAUAUUAUGUAGCAGGAAGAAUAUUCUUUGAAAAUACAUGUAACUGUUUAUAAUUAUGUUAAUAUAAAUGAACAACCGUGUCGACAUAAAAUACUCAACCUCUGGACGAGUUCCAUCAUGGCUUCAAACACUAAUGAUUUGUGGCUUAUGGCAAGACCCCUGGUGGCGUCAACCUCUAAAAGACCUGUGUUUGGACGCAUCAAAAAAAGAUUAGAGUUUGGAAGCGGGAAAACUGCAGAGAGUCCGACACGUAAAAUCAUUGUAUUAGAUUCUUCAAC